rfam:Oryza glaberrima chromosome 7 Oglab07_0056_3, whole genome shotgun sequence.
UAUAAGGGAUUUUGAGUUUUUCUUACAACGUUUGACCACUCGUCUUAUUCAAAAAAUUUUGAAAUUAUUAUUUAUUUUAUUUGUAACUUACUUUAUUAUCUAUAAUAUUUUAAGCAUAACUUUUUAUUUUUUAUAUUCGUAAAAAAAAUUUGAAUAAGACGAGUGGUCAAACGUUGCAAGAAAAACUUAAA